GACGAACGCUGGCGGCGUGCUUAACACAUGCAAGUCGAACGGAAAGGCCCUGCGUUUGUGGGGUGCUCGAGUGGCGAACGGGUGAGUAACACGUGAGUAACCUGCCCUUGACUUUGGGGUAACUUCAGGAAACUGGGGCUAAUACCGUAUAGGAUCUCCUGCUGCAUGGUGGGGGUUGGAAAGUUUCGGCGGUUGGGGAUGGACUCGCGGCUUAUCAGCUUGUUGGUGGGGUAGUGGCUUACCAAGGCUUUGACGGGUAGCCGGCCUGAGAGGGUGACCGGCCACAUUGCGACUGAGAUACGGACCAGACUCCUACGGGAGGCAGUGGUGGGGAGUAUUGCACAAUGGGCGGAAGCCUGAGGCAGCAACGUCGCGUGCGGGAUGACGGCUUUUGGGUUGUAAACCGCUUUCGCCUGUGACGAAGCGUGAGUGACGGUAAUGGGUAAAGAAGCACCGGCUAACUACGUG
rnacentral:rRNA from 1 species